rnacentral:lncRNA from 1 species
UUUGGCUAGGACUUCCAAUACUAUGUUGAAUAGAAGGGGUGAGAAUGGGCAUCCUUGUCUUGUUCCAGACUUUAGCAGGAAAGCUUUCAGUUUUUCUCUGUUAAGUAUUAUAUUGGCUGUGGAUUUGUCAUAAAUAGCUUUUAUUAUGUUGAGAUAUGUUCCCUCUAUACCCACUUUAGUAAGAGUUUUUGUCAUGAAUGGAUAUAGAAUUUUGUCAAAUGCUUUUCCUGCGUCUAUUGAGAUAAUCACUUGAUUUUUGCCUUUACAUUUGUUUACAUGGUGUAUUAUAUUGAUUGAUUCACAUAUGUUGAACCUUUCUUGUGAACUUGGGAUGAAUCCCACUUGGCCAUGGUGUCUGAUCUUUUUUAUGUGUUGGAUUUUGUUUGCUAGAGUUUUGUUGAGAAUUUUUGCAUCUGUAUUCAUCAAAGAUAUUGGCCUGUAAUUUUCCUUUCUUUCUUUUUUUUCUUUUCUUUCCUUCCUUCCUCCUCCCCUUCUUUCUUUCCUUUUGCUGCCACCCCAGUGGCGUAUGGAAGUUCCCGGGCUAAGGGUCAAAUCGGAGUUGUAGCUGCCAGCCUAUGCUGCAACUUGUAGCAACACCAGGUCCUUAACCCACUGAGUGAGGCCAGGGAUUGAACCUGCAUCCUCAUGGAUACUAGUCUGGUUCAUAACUCACUGAGCCACAUUGGGAACUCCUCUUUCCUAUCUCAUUUCCUCAUUGACCCAUUGGGUUUUUUGUUUUUUUUUUUUGAUAGGCAAAAAAUAGAUUUAUUAGGGGAGGACGCUUGUGAGAGAUGCAAGCAGACAGGCAUAGAAGCUCUGCUGGUGGGCUACAGUGUUAUCAUCCAAGGGGAGUGUGGGUCGGAAAAGCCUGCCUCUUCUUUUUUCUCCUUUGGUUUUUUAGACUCAACCAUGUUGUUGAGUCUCUUUGUAGUUAUUUCUUCUCAUUUCUCUUCCUACUGUUGAUUUCUAGUUUCAUGCCGUUGUGGACAGAGAAGAUGCUUGAAAUAAUUUCUAUACCUGUAAGUUUGUUGACUUUUUUGUGUUAGUAUGUGGUCAAUCCUAGAGAAUAUUUUAUGGGCACUUGAGAAGAAAUUCUAUUUUUUGGGGAUGUAGUGUCCUAAAAAUAUGAUACAUCUAAACGUUCCAUUGGGUUUAGGAUCUCUGUUGCCAUAUUGGUUUUCUGUCUAGAAGAUCGUUCGCUGAUGUGAGUGGGAUGUUUAAGUCUCUUUCUGUUGUUGUAUUUCCAUCAAUUUCUGCAUUUAUGUCUAUUAGUAUUUGUUGUAUGUAUUUGGGUGAUUCUAUAUUGGGGCAUGUGUAUUGAUGAGUGUAAAAUACUCUUCCUAUAGUUAUCCUUUUAUCAUUAUAUAGUAUCCUUCUUUAUCUUUCUUUUUGGCCUUUGUUUUAAAAUCUGAAAUGAGUAUUGUAUCCCCCCCUUUGCUGUCAUUUUCAUUUGCAUGAAAUAUCUUUUUCUGUCCCUUCACUUUCAAUCCCUGUGUGUCCUUUGCCCUAAAGUGGAUCUCCUGUAGGCAGCAUAGUGUAGGCUCUUGGUUUUUUGUUACCUUUUUUUUUUUUUUUUCUUUUCCCCACAUCCAUGGCAUGCAGAGGUUCCUGGCCCGAGGAUGGAGCCUGAACUAUAAGUGACACUGCCAAAUCCUUAACCACUAGGCCACCAGGGAACUCCCUCAGCCUGUAUCUUUGAGCUCUGUUGUGGGUCAGGCCCCUGGGGAUCAGGCUGUGCUGAAGCUCCCAACCGCUCCUACCCAUGGCUGCCACAAAGCCUCCUCCCUGGCACCCCUUGCCCUCAGGCUACUGGUGGGUUUGACAGCGGCUGGACCUUGCAGGGUAGGAAGGGCGGUUCUGCCUUUCCUUCUCUGUGUCUUCGGGGCCUCUCCAGCUUGAGCUGCACCUCUUGUGUGGCUCUAGCUCCUACCAUGUGGCCCUGUCUGGGAUCUGAUCACCCCAUCUCUCCCCUCUAUGCCCCCAGCCCGGGGUGGGCAGUGUCCUGCCCAUACUUACUGCUGUUUUUCACCUUCUGCGCGAUUUACCUUCUCAGAGUCUUCCUCACUCAUGGGACCAGUUCCCUAGACACAAUUCUCUCGGCCUGAGAGACCCGGGGGGCUUCUGUUUCCUGGUUGGGUCCUUCCUGCUUCCCCUGGCCGAUGUCUUGGCGGCACACACUGCAAUGGUCUGCCUCUGAGGCUCCGUCCUUCCCAGAACUAUGAGCAGCCUGCUUCUUUUUUGGGUGACCUGUCUUCCUACAGAGUCAUACCCACGUAUGAAUACUUUCCACCUUACGGUUCCCCUGUGAGCUGGAUCCACAAGCCCUUGCUCCGUUUGCAAAUGAGGCAGGGGAGGAUGAACCAUUUGCCAGCAGCCACAUCUAUUCCUGCAGCAGUGGGAUCUGAACCCUGGCACCUGGGCAGCCGUUGCGGGGUGAGAGUGAGGGCUCUGUGUGGCUUGGGGCCCAGCUUCCAGGCCUGGAGGCAUCUGUCCUGAGGGUGACCUUGCCUCAGUCCCAGCGGGGCAGUGAGGCACCCAUGAUGCCAGGCUCACCCGAUGGUCCUGGCUCCAGGGUGACGCCACCCUAGAGAGGAGAGAACCCAGCUUUGUGGAGGACACACACUCUCUCGAGGCCACGGAGUGAGGCGGGCAGGGCUGUAGACCCCAGCCGCCAGACCUCCGAUGAUGUCACCCCCCUUGGUACCACCUCCCGUGGCUUCCGGAGUGGGUGGGGCCCGGGCAGGUUCAGCAGGCCAACUCAAGGGCGUCACGAGGUGCCAGCUCCAGGCCCUGCCGCAAGCGUGGCCCUCCCUGAGGUCCCUCAGUGCCACCUCACUUGUGCAGGGUGCAUCCUGCAGCCCCAGCAGACGUUCCGGCAUCCGGGACUGGGCACAGCCUACGUGGCAGCUUGGGAGGCUGCAGGGGGUGGGGGGAGGGGGCAGCCCUCCAGUCUUUGGACAAGAGGACUAGCCCAGCCCCUGAGCCUGCCUUGACCUCUUUCUCCCGCCCCCUCGGGAGCAGGUGUGCGGGCUCUGGGCCCUGGACCACGGACUCCUCCUCCCUCUUGCUCCCAGAGACCCGGCGCCUUGCACACGCAAGGCCUCACUCCCCAAGCUCAGCCUGUUUUAGGGCCAGGUGUGUGGGGGCUCAGAGGGUCUGUGCUGUGGCCUCAGCUCUCAUCCCAGGCCUUGUAGCUGAGACCAGCCCUCCUGGCAGCGACUUCUCACCCCAGCAGCUCCAGGAAUCUCAAAGGCCUGGCUUGUGAGCUUAUGGGGUCCUGUUACAUGCUCUGAGAGAGGCUGCCCUUGGAGUUCCCAGUGUGGCUCAGCAGGCUAAGGACCUGACACUGUCUCUGUGAGGAUGUGAGUUCGAUCCCUGACCUUGCUCAGUGGGUUAAGGAUCUGGCAUGGCUGUCAGCUGUGGCAUAGGUCACAGAUGCAGCUCAGAUCGGGUGUUGCUGUGGCUGUGGUGUAGGUCAUAGCUGCAGCUCCAUUUUGCCCCCUGGUCCGAGAACUUCCAUGUGCUGCGGGUAUGGCCAUAAAAGAAAAAGAAGAGGCUGCCCAGAGAGGCUGAGACACCUCCUUUGGGGCACACAGCACCUUCCCCGGCUGUGCUCUUGCCUGCAGACCCUUCCCACACCUCACUCCUCUCCGCUUCUCCUCUUUUCCGAGAAACUCAGAACGUGGGGGCCAAAUGGAGCCCAAGCGCUCAAGUUGUGCCCAUUCUGCCUGGGCUCACACAGAAGGAUGCCCGGGUGGACCCCAGACAGCCUGACUCCACUGCCGCUGGCGGGCCAAGUCCUCAGAGGGCACGGGCAGGACCCUGCCUCUGGAAGGCAGGGCUGCCCUAUAGUGUGUGGGGGUGACUAGCCGUUCAGAGGUCCUGGAAGCCCCUCCCCUGUCCUUCCCGCCUGUUUCUUCACGUGGGUGUGGGACCAGGUGUGGUGGGAGUACAUUUCUGUCAGCCCUGUCUCUGAGCCCAGAAAGGGGGACGCUAAUGAGAGCUGAGUGGCUGGCAUCAGGAUGGCAGCCUGGAGGUGGGCCAGUAGUGGGGCCUGUGCCCAGCUCUGGGGGGACAGUUUUGGCUCCUGCAGGAGCCAGCAGGAAGGACGUGGCCACGGGGCACACAGGGGCCAGCACGCAGCCGCCGCUGACGGCCCCCACCAAGCGGGGCAGUGCUGGGGCAGCUCAGGCUGGAGUCCCGGCUCGGCACACACAGAGCUCACAUCGUGGCUCUGCAGUGAAUGAACCCGACUAGAAUCCACGAGGAUAUGGGUUCGAUCCCUGGCCCCGCUCAGUGGGUGAAGGAUCUGGUAGGUUGCAGACGCAGCUCGGAUCUGGUGUUGCUGUGGCUCUGGCGUAGGCCGGCAGCUACAGCUUUGAUUGAACCCCUAGCCUGGGAACCUCCAUGUGCUGCAGGUGCAGUCCUAAAAAAAAUAAGACAAAAAAAAAAAAAAAAAAA